rnacentral:rRNA from 1 species
GAGUUUGAUCCUGGCUCAGAUUGAACGCUGGCGGCAUGCCUUACACAUGCAAGUCGAACGGCAGCACGGGAGCAAUCCUGGUGGCGAGUGGCGAACGGGUGAGUAAUAUAUCGGAACGUGCCCAGUCGUGGGGGAUAACGCAGCGAAAGCUGUGCUAAUACCGCAUACGAUCUAUGGAUGAAAGCGGGGGACUCGCAAGAGCCUCGCGCGAUUGGAGCGGCCGAUAUCAGAUUAGCUAGUUGGCGGGGUAAAGGCCCACCAAGGCGACGAUCUGUAGCUGGUCUGAGAGGACGACCAGCCACACUGGAACUGAGACACGGUCCAGACUCCUACGGGAGGCAGCAGUGGGGAAUUUUGGACAAUGGGCGCAAGCCUGAUCCAGCAAUGCCGCGUGCAGGAUGAAGGCCUUCGGGUUGUAAACUGCUUUUGUACGGAACGAAACGGUCCUUUCUAAUACAAGGGGCUAAUGACGGUACCGUAAGAAUAAGCACCGGCUAACUACGUGCCAGCAGCCGCGGUAAUACGUAGGGUGCGAGCGUUAAUCGGAAUUACUGGGCGUAAAGCGUGCGCAGGCGGUUAUAUAAGACAGAUGUGAAAUCCCCGGGCUCAACCUGGGACCUGCAUUUGUGACUGUAUAGCUAGAGUACGGUAGAGGGGGAUGGAAUUCCGCGUGUAGCAGUGAAAUGCGUAGAUAUGCGGAGGAAUACCGAUGGCGAAGGCAAUCCCCUGGACCUGUACUGACGCUCAUGCACGAAAGCGUGGGGAGCAAACAGGAUUAGAUACCCUGGUAGUCCACGCCCUAAACGAUGUCAACUGGGUUGUUGG